rnacentral:rRNA from 1 species
UACAGAGGAUGCAAGCGUUAUCCGGAAUGAUUGGGCGUAAAGCGUCUGUAGGUGGCUUUUUAAGUCCGCCGUCAAAUCCCAGGGCUCAACUCUGGACAGGCGGUGGAAACUACCAAGCUGGAGUACGGUAGGGGCAGAGGGAAUUUCCGGUGGAGCGGUGAAAUGCGCAGAUAUCAGGAGGAACACCGGUGGCGAAGGCGGAUCUCUGGGCCUUACCUGACGCUCAGGCGCGAAAGCUAGGGGAGCGAACUGG